rnacentral:rRNA from 1 species
AUGGCAUACCGGAUCCCCAAGCUAGAGGAGCUCCUCGAGGUGCGCAAGCUGCCGAGGAGCAUCAGGAAAGACAUCUCGUUUGCCUUCCGACAGAUACAGAGCGUGCACGCUGCCCUCUGCAAGGUGGCAGAGGUGCCACGGGACCAGCUUGACGAGGAUGUGAAGCUCUGGGCAGAGGAGGCCAGGAUGGUGUACUACAACAUAGAGGUAGCCGUCGACAAGCUCCUGAUGCUCGCCCCCAACUCAGGCGGCUUAAAGGGGCUCAUGGAGAGCAUGGUCAGCUUCCUCACGAAAGGCAAGACUAGCCAUCAGAUCAUCGCCAGCAUCAUCAUGGACAUCAAGGCUCAACUCAGAAAUCUGGAAUUAAGGAGGGGGGAGUCAAAAAACACUUUAGGGAUUUUUGAUAUUUUUGAUAAUCCUGCAGCAAUGAAGAGUGUCGAUCCUCAUCUUGUGGAUCUGUACGAGCAUGGAGCCAAUGAUGUGGCAACGGGCGCCAUUGCCUGCAUGCUCCCCAAGCUAGUCCGGCUCCUCAACAAGGAGUACAAGCUGCAGGCAAUCAUCAACAACGAUGUCAAGUAUAUCUCUCAGGAGAUGGAGAAGAUGCAGGCUGCCCUCCUCAAGGUGGCAGAGGAGCCACGGGAGUUCAUCCGCGAGGAGUGCUGGCUCUGUGCAGGGGAGGUCAGGAAACUGUCCUACGACAUGGAGGCUGAAGUUGACAAGCUGCUGGUGCUCGCCCCCAUCUCGGGCGGCUUUAAGGGGCUCAUGGAGAACAUGGUCAGCUUCCUCCAGAAAGGCAAGACUCGCCAUCAGAUCAUCGUCAGCAUCAUCAAGGACAUCAAGAUUCAAGUCAGACACGCAGCCGACCGGUACGGGCAUUAUCUUUAUCGUUUUGACAGUUUAACAGUUCCAAGUAUCGAUUCUCGCAUGCUAGCUAUGUACAAAGAUAUGGCAGAUCUUGUCGAUGUUGAUGGGGGAAAUUAUCAAGAGCUCAUGAAAUUAUUGUCAGAUGGGAAUGAUGUGCUCAAUACAAUGCUGAAGAUAUUCUCAGUUGUUGGAUUUGGAGGAUUGGGUAAAACCACUCUUGUCAAAACAGUGUAUGACAAGAUCCGAAGGGAUUUUGACUGCACGGUUUUUGUUUCAGCUGGUCAGAGUCCUGACUUGAAGAGAAUUUUGAUGGAUAUAAGUAUUGGUCUCAUUUUUGAAAGAGAUCACGAGGUCCUCGACGCAUUAAAUGUGCCACAGCUCAUCGAUAAACUUCAAAAAUUCCUUGACAACAAGAGGUACCUCAUCGUGAUAGAUGACAUAUGGAAUGAAAAUCUGUGGGAAAAUAUCAAAAAUGUGGCGGGGUGCCUCUAG